UUUUUUUUUUUUGGACCGGGAGAGAGCGAGGAGACACAAUGUAGGUAGCAAGAAGUCCCCGGUUCAGGUGCGGACCCGCCGACAUGGGCAACCAGAGGAUUUAUAACUGAAAUACAUUAUGAAAUUCUAGUUUCGGUUCCCAGCGAUUCUGUUAGUUGUAGAUUCUAAACUAAGAUUGUAUGGCGUUUUCCUUCACGCAGCAACUGAACUGAGUUCCAGAGAAAGGUGCUGUUUACCUAGCAUCAUCUUACCUUGGCUCAUGGUGACCCAAACCUCCGUGUAAAAUGAGAAAUCUUUCUACAGUCCAACUUACUUCCUAUGAGAAAUUGAAUGUGAAGGUCACUUCCUCAGGACUACUGAAGACUUUGAAAGGGACUAUGUUGGUCUUCCCUACGGAUGGAGGGUUUCCUGCGAUCUUAACCAUUCAACUGCCUCCUUCCCUGAAAGAAUUGAGCCAAGAUUCAGAUAAGAUUCUUCAGGCAGGUGAGAAGCUUGGGAAGAUAGAUUUAUGACCUUAGUUAGGGACUUGGCCGAACACCUAUGGGAAGACACUCAGCAUAAGAAACUACAUCUUUUCUUCUAGCAACUGUGCAUACCGACCGUCGAGAUCAAAACAGGCAGGGAAUUACUGGGUAGGCCUUAGGUGUCCAUGAGAUCCUGGGAUGGCAUGAGGCUCCAGGUAGACACAGGAGACUGCUCAGAACCUAGUUUCAACCUGGGAUAUUAUUAGACAUCAGUGAGACUCUGACAGAAGAAAAGGUACCGGUUACAUCCUCCUGACAGCAUGACACCUCAAAAAUAAUUUAGAGAAGGUAAUAGUCCCCUAAAAAUACCUGGGAAAAGCUUAGGACCCUAGAAACAUCAUAGAAAUGGAACAGGUUCCAGUGAGAAACUGGAGCAGGAUUGAGUCCAAGAGAGAACCAAGGAAAACAUUCAAGUCCAAGGAGGUCCUAAGGAAGACUUUAAGCCUUAAUGAGAAUCUAAGACAGACUUUAGAUCUGAACGAAAAUCUCUGGGAAGCCAUAGCCAUGAGUGAGAAGGAGGGGAAUGAUUUCUUCCUCAGUGAGAAUGUGGAAGACAGUUAGAACCAGUGAAAAACCACAGUUUGGAUUUGGUGAGGCCUUAGGUUUCCGUGAAUACCUUUUGAAAGCCUUGGGUUGCAGUAAGAACACCGAAAGCUCUUCUAUCCCAGGGAGGUAUUGCAGAAGACUUUUAAUGCUGUGUGAUCCUGGGGACAUUCUUAGACUGACAGAGAAUCUAGGCAAGAUCUUAGAUUCAACUUUCAAAUAUUGGCAUUGGAUUCUAUGUUCUAUAUAUGGUCUCAUUGUCUUAGGAAAUUAGAGCAACAAAUUGGCUCCAAACCUGGGGAUUAGACCCUAAGCAAUUUGAGGGAAAAUUCACUUCUCCCCAAAAUAUGCAACUAGCAGUAAUGUGGAAAUGAAACACCUAGUAGGUCUAACAAGUUUCUACAGAGCUACUGAGAAGCUCCCUCCCUAAGCCCCAUUCAAACCGUGGCAACAAGAGGCAGAAACACAUCCCAGAGCUGGGACUUAGCCAGCACCAAUGUCACAGCAUGUUUGAGGUUUUUGAGCCUAAAGAAGGACCAAGGACGCUGGGGCAGGACUUCCUGUGAAGCAUCAGAGCUUAGCAUCAAGAGGUGAAAAAAAUGGCAGCCGACUUUCCAAAGGCUUCUCCCAGGUCCAGCAGGCUGAUCAGGACAGAGAAGAACCAGACCUGCUCUACAGACUGUGUACACUGCAGGCUGCUGGAGAUCGCUGCCCAUGCUGCCAUCAGCUCUGCAAACACAAGAGUUGCCUCAUAAGCCCAGAUGCUGUGGGUCCUUCUCCAGUUAGCUCCUCCCUGCCAGUGAAAGAAUUGGAGAGUACUACAGUGUCCUGAGUUGAACACUAGAGGGAGACAAAGGCACAAAAAGCUGGAAUAAGGACAUAAGCAGAGACCAAGAGCAAUGCAUGUCAUUUUGGUCCUUUGGGGCUGUGGAAAACAUUGGAAUAGACAGCGCACUGACCUUCCCUGUAUCUGGAGAGUGUCCCCUUUGAUCCAGACCCAAGCUGUGGAUAAGAAACCUCAUGCAGCUUCUUGUGACUUUCAAGAACUCUCUCGGAUCCAGAGGACCCACUCUGUUUGUACAGGAAGGAGCUCCCUUUGCUGAUUCAUGGGUGGUGUCUGCCAGAUGGAUGGACUGGACAGAAACUGCAGCUUGAUGUUUCCUGGACUGCUGAAGACUUUGAAAGGGACUAUGUUGGUCUUCCCUACGGAUGGAGGGUUUCCUGCGAUCUUAACCAUUCAACUGCCUCCUUCCAUGAAAUAAUUGAGCCAAGAUUCAGAUAAGAUUCUUCAGGCAGGUGAGAUGCUUGGGAAGGUAGAUUUUUGACCUUAGUUAGGAACUUGGCCGAACACCUAUGGGAAGACACUCAGCAUAAGAAACUACAUCUUUUCUUCUAGCAACUGUGCAUACCGACCGUCGAGAUCAAAACAGGCAGGGAAUUACUGGGUAGGCCUUAGGUGUCCAUGAGAUCCUGGGAUGGCAUGAGGCUCCAGGUAGACACAGGAGACUGCUCAGAACCUAGUUUCAACCUGGGAUAUUAUUAGACAUCAGUGAGACUCUGACAGAAGAAAAGGUACCAGUUACAUCCUCCUGACAGCAUGACACCUCAAUGAUAAUUUAGAGAAGGUAAUAGUCCCCUAAAAAUACCGGGGAAAAACUUUGGACCCUGGAAACAUCAUAGAAAUGGAACAGGUUCCAGUGAGACCCUGGAGCAGGAUUGAGUCCAAGAGAGAACCAAGGAAAACAUUCAAGUCCAAGGAGGUCCUAAGGAAGACUUUAAGCCUUAAUGAGAAUCUAAGACAGACUUUAGAUCCGAAGGAAAAUCUCUGGGAAGCCAUAGCCAUGAGUGAGAAGGAGGGGAAUGAUUUCUUCCUCAGUGAGAAUGUGGAAGACUGUUAGAACCAGUGAAAAAACACAGUUUGGAUUUGGUGAGGCCUUAGGUUUCUGUGAAUACCUUUUGAAAGCCUUGGGUUGCAGUAAGAACACCAAAAGCUCUUCUAUGCCAGGGAUGUAUUGGAGAAGACUUUAAACGCUGUGUGAUCCUGGGGACAUUCUUAGACCUGACAGAGAAUCUAGGCAAAACCUUAGGUUCAACUUUGCAAUAUUGUAGGACACAGAUCGAACCCUGUCAAGGCCUGAGAUCUUGUGUUUCUCAGGAAGGCCUAACAUACCAGUGUAAUCUUUCCAGAAGUUGACGACACACCGAGAAUCUCUAAGAUCCUUUCUGUUUCACAAAGAAACUAGGGAAGACAGGAGGUCUCAAUAACACUUUGAAGAAGGCCUUUAGCCACAUGGAGAUCUUUUGGAAUGUUGGACGUCGUAUUUCGAACAUGAAGAAAGCCUUCAUUCCCUGUGAAAAUCUCGGAUGGGUUCCUAGACUGCAAUAGAAGUUAAGAAAUAUAUCGGCCCACUUGAUACCCUGUGCAUAGGCUCUAGCAAGAUGCUGUGCAAGGAAUUAGGCCACAGAUACGACUUUGGAAAGCUGUAGGCCACAGGGGUAACCUGGGAAUUCUUGUGGGCCUUGGACCAUAGGCUUCAUUGUGUCUUUGGAGGGAGGUCUUAAAGCAUACGUAGUGUUCCCAUUUAAAUUAUCCAGUCCUGCUUUUUGUAUUGUGAUGCUAAUUCUGCCCCCAGACAGCAGACCACAAAAUACCCAGGUGAUUUCAUGGGAACCGUCUUCCUAUAUUAACCUGUCAAUAAAUCUAGAGCUUCUGAUCGGAGACUAGAAGGGAAAGGUGAGACUGGAGGUUUGACGGUGGUAGCAGCUGGAGAGAGGGAAGGGCAAAAAAUCAAGGAGAGCGGCCUGUAGAGGAGGAGCUGAGAUCGACCUGAUUGCAUUGGAUUCUAUGUUCUAUAUAUGGUCUCAUUGGCUUUGGAAAUUAGAGCAACAAAUUGGCUCCAAACCUGGGGAUUAGAACCCAAGCAACUUGAGGGAAAAUUCACUCCUCCCCACUAUAGGCAAGUAGGGCUGGGCUGUAAAGUUGCCUUGGGGUGAAAAUGAAACACCUAGUGGGUCUACAAGGUUCUAUACAUCUACUGAGAAUCUCCCUCCCUAAGCCCCAUUUAGACCAUGACAGUAACCCAUCUCUGAGUUCAGACUUACCCCAGUACCAAUGUCACAACAUAGUUGGGGUUCGUUGAGCCUAAA
rnacentral:sRNA from 1 species